rnacentral:rRNA from 1 species
CCCUUAGACGUUCUGGGCCGCACGCGCGCUACACUGACCAGUGCAACAAGCAUCCGUCCUUGGCCGACAGGCUCGGGCAAUCUUUGAACGAUGGUCGUGAUGGGGAUAGACUUUUGCAAUUUUUGGUCUUCAACGAGGAAUUCCUAGUAAACGCAAGUCAUCAACUUGCAUUGAUUACGUCCCUGCCCUUUGUACACACCGCCCGUCGCACCUACCGAUUGAAUGGUCCGGUGAAGCCUCCGGAUUGGCGCGCACCUCGGUGCCGCCGAGAAGUUGGCUAAACCUUACCAUUUAGAGGAAGGUGAAGUCGUAACA